CACAAGUUACGUGACUUCCUGUGAAAAUAGAAACUGAAACCAACUCUGGUCUCCUUCAGAUCAGCCUCCAUUUUGAGCUGCAGGAUGGAAAUAACUUGCUGACUUGUUACUAGAGGCCAGAAGAUGGAAGAUCAGGACAGAGCAGAACCUCCAGGACCCAUCAGUCCAUCUAUGAGGAGUGACCUGUCCAAAGGUUAUCCUCCAGAGUUCAGUAAUGAACCUGAACCAUCAGACAGAAAGAGCUGUGAGUGUGAAGAAAGACCCAGAACAGGAGCUGAACGGCCGACAGC